rnacentral:rRNA from 1 species
CUAAGAAUCUUCCGCAAUGGACGCAAGUCUGACGGAGCGACGCCGCGUGAACGAUGAAGGCCUUACAGGUUGUAAAGUUCUUUUAUAGAGGACGAAUAUUUGGAGUAGUCUUGAUUGACGGUACUCUAUGAAUAAGGUCCGGCUAACUACGUGCCAGCAGCCGCGGUAAUACGUAGGGACCGAGCGUUGUUCGGAAUUAUUGGGCGUAAAGGGUACGUAGGCGGUCUAAUAAGUCAGAUGUGAAACCCUCGGGCUCAUCCUGAGGCCUGCGUCUGAUACUGUUAGGCUAGAGUUACGGAGAGGAAGUCGGAAUUCCUGGUGUAGGGGUGAAAUCUAUAGAUAUCAGGAAGAACAUCAGUUGCGAAGGCGGACUUCUGGACGUUAACUGACGCUGAGGUACGAAAGUUAGGGUAGCAAACA